AUUGAACGCUGGCGGCAGGCCUAACACAUAGAAGUCGAGCGGAUGAAGGGAGCUUGCUCCUGGAUUCAGCGGCGGACGGGUGAGUAAUGCCUAGGAAUCUGCCUGGUAGUGGGGGAUAACGUCCGGAAACGGGCGCUAAUACCGCAUACGUCCUGAGGGAGAAAGUGGGGGAUCUUCGGACCUCACGCUAUCAGAUGAGCCUAGGUCGGAUUAGCUAGUUGGUGGGGUAAAGGCCUACCAAGGCGACGAUCCGUAACUGGUCUGAGAGGAUGAUCAGUCACACUGGAACUGAGACACGGUCCAGACUCCUACGGGAGGCAGCAGUGGGGAAUAUUGGACAAUGGGCGAAAGCCUGAUCCAGCCAUGCCGCGUGUGUGAAGAAGGUCUUCGGAUUGUAAAGCACUUUAAGUUGGGAGGAAGGGCAGUAAGUUAAUACCUUGCUGUUUUGACGUUACCAACAGAAUAAGCACCGGCUAACUUCGUG
rnacentral:rRNA from 1 species